rnacentral:rRNA from 1 species
UGUGUGUUAGUGGAAGCGUCUGGAAAGGCGCGCGAUACAGGGUGACAGCCCCGUACACAAAAGCGUAUGUGCUGUGAGCUCGAUGAGUAGGGCGGGACACGUGGUAUCCUGUCUGAAUAUGGGGGGACCAUCCUCCAAGGCUAAAUACUCCUGACUGACCGAUAGUGAACCAGUACCGUGAGGGAAAGGCGAAAAGAACCCCGGCGAGGGGAGUGAAAAAGAACCUGAAACCGUGUACGUACAAGCAGUGGGAGCCCCACCACUAAGCCAGUGGUGAACUCCACAUACGCAUCCUUUGCUGAGGAUACGGUUAACGGAGCGAAAGCGACGUUCAACCGCAAAAGAAGCAGAGGGGGCUUAGUGGUGGGGUGACUGCGUACCUUUUGUAUAAUGGGUCAGCGACUUAUAUUCUGUAGCAAGGUUAACCGAAUAGGGGAGCCGGAGGGAAACCGAGUCUUAAC